CCUUCGGGUUGUAAAGUGCUUUUUGAGAGGAUGAGGAAGGACAGUACUUUCAGAAUAAGCUUCGGCUAACUACGUGCCAGCAGCCGCGGUAAAACGUAGGAAGCGAGCGUUAUCCGGAUUUACUGGGCGUAAAGCGUGUGUAGGCGGUUUGACAAGUUGGAUGUGAAAGCUCCUGGCUUAACUGGGAGAGGUCGUUCAAAACUGUCAGACUUGAGAGUGGUAGAGGGAGGUGGAAUUCCGGGUGUAGUGGUGAAAUGCGUAGAUAUCCGGAGGAACACCAGUGGCGAAAGCGGCCUCCUGGCCCAUUUCUGACGCUCAGACACGAAAGCUAAGGUAGCAAACGGGAUUAGAGACCCCGGUAGUCUUAGCUGUAAACGAUGUGAACUUAGUGUCGGUGGUGUUAAAUCCAUCGGUACUGAAGCUAACGCGAUAAGUUCACCGCCUGGGGACUACGGCCGCAAGGUUAAAACUC
rnacentral:rRNA from 1 species